rnacentral:rRNA from 1 species
AUUGAACGCUGGCGGCAUGCCUUACACAUGCAAGUCGAACGGCAGCAUGGAAGAGCUUGCUCUUCUGAUGGCGAGUGGCGAACGGGUGAGUAAAGCAUCGGAACGUGCCGUGUAGUGGGGGAUAACGUAGCGAAAGUUACGCUAAUACCGCAUACGCACCGAGGUGGAAAGCAGGGGAUCGCAAGACCUUGCGCUAUACGAGCGGCCGAUGUCAGAUUAGCUAGUUGGUAGGGUAAAGGCCUACCAAGGCGACGAUCUGUAGCGGGUCUGAGAGGAUGAUCCGCCACACUGGGACUGAGACACGGCCCAGACUCCUACGGGAGGCAGCAGUGGGGAAUUUUGGACAAUGGGGGAAACCCUGAUCCAGCCAUGCCGCGUGAGUGAAGAAGGCCUCGG